CAGCCCAUCAGAGCAAUUAUACUCAGACUCGUUGUAAACACACAAUUGUCAGAGGGUAAGGAUCUUCUCUGCAGUAUACUGAUUUUUGCACACAGAUUGUUUUCCAAAUAGAGGAGCCUCAGAGGGAAUAUUUGGCAGACACCACUGGAAUCAGGAGCUGGUAUUUGGCCAGAUGGUGACGUACAACCAGUGACUGGGGUGUCUGUGUUACUGUGGUGCCCAAGGAACAGUGCUGCAGUGAAGGAUGGGGCACCUCUUCACCAAUUCCAGCAGAGUGUCACCUGCUUACAGAAGGAUCUCUACCAUUUAUUGGCAAUUUAUGUCUGUCAAUACACAGCUGAAAUCAAACAGCAUGGGUGGCAACCGUUUGUUUUUCUGAGGUCAGACAUGAAGAAUUGACAUCUAUGGAUUGAAUCUUUCUUUUGGGGAAAAAAAUGGUUUCAGUAUACCCAUGGCCAAAACCUGCUGUUCUUCCAGCACAGUCGUUUCAUCUGAGCAGAGACUGGACACAGAAUCACAUACAGAGCACUGGAUGGGUAAAGUGCUGC